CAAUCCUAAAGGAAAUCAGUCCUGAACAUUCAUUGGAAGGACUGAAGCUGUAGCUCCAAUACUUUGGCUACCUGAUGCAAAGAAGCAACUCACUGGAAAAGACCCUGAUGCUGGGGAAAAUUGAAAGCAGGAAGACAGGGAGAUGACAGAGGAUGAAAUUGGUUGGAUGGCAUCACCAACUCAAUGGACAUGAAUUUGAGCAAGCUCCANNNNNNNNNNNNNNNNNNNNNNNNNNNNNNNNNNNNNNNNCAUGGGGUCACAAAGAGUCGGACAUGACUGAGCGACUGAACUGACCAGAAGCUGAACAACAGGCAUAAGCUACCCUCUGGGAAUAAUAAUUCAUAUGUAACUUUACAUUUAUUUCAUCCUUGAAGUCCAGGAUUUCAUCUUCUAAAACAAGCCCCAGACACGGAUGAGGUUUGUUCAGUGCAACUCCUUGGUUAUGACUCUUCUUGAUCCAGAAACCUGUGAAAUGAGAGGCUAAGUAUUUUUAACACAACCUGCAGUGGUAAAACUGGACAAAGUAGUAGACUUUUACAUUCAAAAAGGGAUAGACAUACACAGCAGUCAUCUGGCCAUGAAAUUCUGAAAUCUAGGUACAUGUUGCCAGCUUUCUCUAUUCUAGAAGCCAAGAAUGUUUCCUGAUGAGAGACUCUUAACCCCAGUGAAUUGAUUCUCUGUCCAUUGUUCUCAACUCUUAGUUCAAUCCUAUGAGAUCUUUCCUUUUUUUUUUUUUUAAUAGUCUGUCUUUGUAGCUGAGUUAUUUUCUCAGUCUGCUUCUUGCCAAUGUAAAACUCACAGCCCAUUAAUCUUUUUUUUUCAUUUGAAUUACUUAGUCCUUUUUAGUACAAACAUGGGGCACUUUUACUGGUACAGCUGUUUUGCUGCUGUUGCUGCUGCUGCUAAGUCUCUUCAGUCAUGUCCAACUCUUCGCAACCCCAUGCGAUGCCGUUGCCUUCUCCGACAGCUGUCUUAACAACUGUGUAUUUUCUGCAAAUCUUAUCGGGGUUUGCCACACACCCCCAAAGUCAAACUGUAAUUUUUUUCAGACCUAUGUUUUUGUGCAUAAAGGAGGAAAUGGUAACCCACUCCAGUAUUCUUGCCUGAAGAAUCUCAUGGAUAGAGGAGCCUGGCAGGCUACAGUUCAUGGGGUCGUAAAAAUCGGACAUGACUUAGCAACUAAACCACCACCACCACCACCAUUUCUGCACAUCAGUAUGUUGCAGCCAUGAAAUUAAAAGAUGUUUUCUCCUUGGAAGAAAAGUUAUGA
rnacentral:lncRNA from 1 species